rnacentral:lncRNA from 1 species
AUGGCCAAGAUCAAGGCUCCAGAUCUUCGCGGGAAGAAGGAGGAGCUGCUGAAACAGCUGGACGACCUGAAGGUGGAGCUGUCCCAGCUGCGUGUCGCCAAAGUGACAGGCGGUGCGGCCUCCAAGCUCCCUAAGAUCCUAGUCGUCCGAAAAUCCAUUGCCCAUGUUCUCACAGUUAUUAACCAGACUCAGAAAGAAAACCUCAGGAAAUUCUACAAGGGCAAGAAGUACAAGCCCCUGGACCUGCGGCCUAAGAAGACACGCGCCAUGCGCCGCCGGCUCAACAAGCACGAGGAGAACCUGAAGACCAAGAAGCAGCAGCGGAAGGAGCGGCUGUACCUGCUGCGGCAGUGA